rnacentral:rRNA from 1 species
GACGAACGCUGGCGGCGUGCUUAACACAUGCAAGUCGAACGGGAAGGCCCUGCUUUUGUGGGGUGCUCGAGUGGCGAACGGGUGAGUAACACGUGAGUAACCUGCCCUUGACUUUGGGAUAACUUCAGGAAACUGGGGCUAAUACCGGAUAGGAGCUCCUGCUGCAUGGUGGGGGUUGGAAAGUUUCGGCGGUUGGGGAUGGACUCGCGGCUUAUCAGCUUGUUGGUGGGGUAGUGGCUUACCAAGGCUUUGACGGGUAGUCGGCCUGAGAGGGUGACCGGCCACAUUGGGACUGAGAUACGGCCCAGACUCCUACGGGAGGCAGCAGUGGGGAAUAUUGCACAAUGGGCGGAAGCCUGAUGCAGCAACGCCGCGUGCGGGAUGACGGCCUUCGGGUUGUAAACCGCUUUCGCCUGUGACGAAGCAUGAGUGACGGUAAUGGGUAAAGAAGCACCGGCUAACUACGUG